UCAGAACGCAGUGAGAUAACAAAAAAACUGUUGCUUGCGAUGGAAAAGCUGUUCGUGAAAGUAGCAUUUACAAAAUUUCGUUCCAAGAUGGAAAACGACAUCCUUCUACAGCCUAAUGGAUUUGACUGUGGCAUCUUUGUUGUGAAGU